AGAGGUAGUUUGUUUCCGAGAAAAAACAAGUGGCCAUGAUGAAACCAAAUAAGGUCAGCCGAUUGGCGGCAAUUUUCUUUUGUUUCUUUCUCGUUUUUCCUACCCUUUCCUUAAAAAAGCUUAAAUCGUGUUCAGUGUUGAACUGCAUGGCGUCGUUACUAGUCGCAAGUAAUACUAUCUCCCGGAAUUUCCGUAAUUUUAAACCUGUGUUAAAGCCCAACUCUUGGAUCAGAUGAAUUGCCAUUUGUGUUAUUUGACGCUGCUUGUUUUCGUGUUGUGUUUGGUUCAUCGAAGCGAAGCUGCGAGUGCAGAUGGAACUCGUACGAAACUCAACAGUCAGACGGCGUUGGCUUUGGAAUCGAGAGAUAAGCGCUGGGUUGUUCAAGAAAUAUUUCACUCGACUGUCAAUUUUAUCAAAUGGAAUUUUGUCAGUCGCAUAUCUGUUUCGUUAAUUAACGAGCUCAUGAAGGUGAUCGAUCCUGUCGUCUACCUUCUGCUACCUCGUGGGGCAUCCACAAUCGCCUCUGUAAUCCUUUCUUUCAUCUACAAAAAGUUACAAUUUUUUAUCAUGUACUGGUUCAACAAUCUCUUCUUCAAUCUCUGACGAAACUUCUUAAAUUUAGAUUUCUCGUAAUUUAAGCCUCACUGUUUUUAAAAUUGCUUGAUUGUCGACAGCUAUCAUGACUUAAAAUAAAUGACGAGGUUUAUUUUUAUUUUAA